rnacentral:rRNA from 1 species
GACGAACGCUGGCGGCGUGCUUAACACAUGCAAGUCGAACGGAAAGGCCCUGCUUUUGUGGGGUGCUCGAGUGGCGAACGGGUGAGUAACACGUGAGUAACCUGCCCUUGACUUUGGGAUAACUUCAGGAAACUGGGGCUAAUACCGGAUAGGAGCUCCUGCUGCAUGGUGGGGGUUGGAAAGUUUCGGCGGUUGGGGAUGGACUCGCGGCUUAUCAGCUUGUUGGUGGGGUAGUGGCUUACCAAGGCUUUGACGGGUAGCCGGCCUGAGAGGGUGACCGGCCACAUUGGGACUGAGAGACGGCCCAGACUCCUACGGGAGGCAGCAGGGGGGAAUAUUGCAGAAUGGGCGGAAGCCUGAUGCAGCAACGCCGCGUGCGGGAUGACGGCCUUCGGGUUGUAAACCGCUUUCGCCUGUGACGAAGCGUGAGUGACGGUAAUGGGUAAAGAAGCACCGGCUAACUACGUG